GGCAGCCUGUGUUACUUCUUGAGAAAAAAAAGUGAUCUUUGGAUUGGAAAAGAGAAUGAAAAUGACUAAAGGAAGUUGAAGCCCAAGAUGUGGAUGUCUCUCAGACCAGCCGAUGAGUCACCGUGUGGGAGAACAGAAGAUGAUUCGAGAAAAAGCUUUGCUGCCGCACUCAUCAAACCAUAUCUCUGCCAACUGUGAACCCUUCCGCUGGGCUUUCUGAGUGCCUGCUCUACCCAAGGAUACAGCAAUUAUGUCUAACUACCAGAGUCCUGGGGAAAAAACAUCUUUCAAAGACAAAAUAUGCUUUUUCAAAAAUGGGACACUUGUCCUGCAUUACUGCAUACACCUCUUUGGGCUGUAAAAAUACAGUAAAAUUGCUUUCUUCCUCACUGCUCCAUGUACAACAUCUCUUCUUUUUUCCUUGA